rnacentral:rRNA from 1 species
GACCAACGCUGGCGGCGUGCUUAACACAUGCAAGUCGAACGGUGAAGCGCCUUCCUUUUUGGUGGGUGUGGAUGAGUGGCGAACGGGUGAGUAACACGUGAGUAACCUGCCCCCUUCUUCUGGAUAACCGCAUGAAAGUGUGGCUAAUACGGGAUAUUCUGGGUCUGUCGCAUGAUGGGUCUGGGAAAGAUAUUGUUUCGGUGGGGGAUGGGCUCGCGGCCUAUCAGCUUGUUGGUGGGGUGAUGGCCUACCAAGGCGGUGACGGGUAGCCGGCCUGAGAGGGUGGACGGUCACACUGGGACUGAGACACGGCCCAGACUCCUACGGGAGGCAGCAGUGGGGAAUAUUGCACAAUGGGCGCAAGCCUGAUGCAGCGACGCCGCGUGAGGGAUGGAGGCCUUCGGGUUGUGAACCUCUUUCGCCAGUGAAGCAGGCCUGCCUCGUUUGUGGGUGGGUUGACGGUAGCUGGAUAAGAAGCGCCGGCUAACUACGUG